GGUUGAUCCUGCCGGAGGCCAUUGCUAUCGGAGUCCGAUUUAGCCAUGCUAGUUGCACGAGUUCAGACUCGUGGCAGAUAGCUCAGUAACACGUGGCCAAGCUACCCUAUGGAGAGGGAUAACCCCGGGAAACUGGGGCUAAUACCUCAUAACGCUCCCCCACUGGAAUGUGGGGAGCCGGAAAUGCUCCGGCGCCAUAGGAUGCGGCUGCGGUCGAUUAGGUAGACGGUGGGGUAACGGCCCACCGUGCCGAUAAUCGGUACGGGUCGUGAGAGCGAGUGCCCGGAGAUGGAUUCUGAGACAAGAAUCCAGGCCCUACGGGGCGCAGCAGGCGCGAAACCUUUACACUGCACGCAAGUGCGAUAAGGGGACUCCGAGUGUGUGGGCAUAGAGCCCACACUUUUGUGUACCGUAAGGUGGUACACGAAUAAGAACUGGGCAAGACCGGUGCCAGCCGCCGCGGUAAUACCGGCAGUUCGAGUGAUGGCCGAUCUUAUUGGGCCUAAAGCGUCCGUAGCCGGCCGGGCAAGUCCGUUGGGAAAUCUGUUCGCUUAACGAACAGGCGUCCAGCGGAAACUGCUCGGCUUGGGACCGAAAGACCUGAGGGGUACGUCCGGGGUAGGAGUGAAAUCCUGUAAUCCUGGACGGACCGCCGAUGGGGAAACCACCUCAGGAGGACGGAUCCGACGGUGAGGGACGAAAGCUAGGGUCUCGAACCGGAUUAGAUACCCGGGUAGUCCUAGCUGUAAACGAUGUCUGCUAGGUGUGGCACAGGCUACGAGCCUGUGCUGUGCCGUAGGGAAGCCGAGAAGCAGACCGCCUGGGAAGUACGUCCGCAAGGAUGAAACUUAAAGGAAUUGGCGGGGGAGCACUACAACCGGAGGAGCCUGCGGUUUAAUUGGACUCAACGCCGGACAUCUCACCGGAACCGACAGCAGUAAUGACAGUCAGGUUG
rnacentral:rRNA from 1 species